rnacentral:rRNA from 1 species
CGGGAAGCCAGGCGGCGACGCCGAGCGGAACCCGAAAACCUGUCUCAGUUCGGAUCGGAGUCUGCAACCCGACUCCGUGAAGCUGGAUUCGCUAGUAAUCGCGCAUCAGCCAUGGCGCGGUGAAUACGUUCCCGGGCCUUGUACACACCGCCCGUCACACCAUGAGAGUCGAUAACACCCGAAGCCUGUGAGCUAACCGUAAGGAGGCAGCAGUCGAAGGUGGGGUUNAUGAUUGGGGUGAAGUCGUAACAAGGUAUC